GAACGCAUAUUGCACCCUCAGGUCUUUUCCAGAGGGUAUGCCUGUUUGAGUGUCAUUAAUACAUCAAUGUAGACUUGUCUUUUGACUUUCUCUACACUUGGAAGUUGAAGGCUUGCUGGUUGUCAUGAUCAGCUCCUUUUAAAUUCAUUAGCGGGACUUUUGAAGACUUGGCUUCAGUUUGAUACAACAUCUAUGCUGUCGCUAAGGAACGGUUUAGUCUGGCUUAUAAUUGUCCUUUGGGACUGUCUCUAGUGGACAUAACAAACUUUGACUCUUGACCUCAAAUCAGGUAGGACUACCCGCUGAACUUA
rnacentral:misc_RNA from 1 species